AUUGAACGCUGGCGGCAGGCCUAACACAUGCAAGUCGAACGAGUGGCGGACGGGUGAGUAAUGUCUGGGAAUCUGCCCGAUGGAGGGGGAUAACUACUGGAAACGGUAGCUAAUACCGCAUACCAUCGGAUGUGCCCAGAUGGGAUUAGCUAGUAGGUGGGGUAACAGCUCACCUAGGCGACGAUCUCUAGCUGGUCUGAGCGGAUGAACAGCCACACUGGAACUUAGACACGGCCCAGACUCCUACGGGAGGCAGCAGUGGGGAAUAUUGCACAAUGGGCGCAAGCCUGAUUCAGCCAUGCCGCGUGUAUGAAGAAGGCCUUCGGGUUGUAAAGUACUUGCAGCGAGGAGGCGUUACUCGCAGAAGAAGCACCGGCUAACUCCGUGCCAGCAGCCGCGGUAAUAC
rnacentral:rRNA from 1 species